AUGGUGGCUCAGGCGGGGCAACCUUCGGGUUGGCCGGUAUCCAUUGAGGCCGGUUUCUCACCCCCGUCUGGGCUACCACCCUUGCGUGAGAACUUCGGUGGUAGCAAUAACCAUUACUCAAUGGAGGCUGCCACCAUGGCUACUAUCCUCACCCCGUCACACCCGCAAUUUGUCUUCCUGUUUGCUGCCGUGCGCCGCAACACCACCACAUUACAGCCCUGCAUGCUGCGUACCGUUGCCACCUGUGAGCACGCCGCCCGCCGUGCUCUGGUACGUGAUUACGUGCUGUCGUUCGCGGGCCGUCUGCCUGUCGCGGAGGUGGCAUGA
rnacentral:antisense_RNA from 1 species